ensembl:lncRNA
CUUACACCUCAAUCAUGAAUCGGGACACUUUUUUGGUGCCACGACCCGGAUUGAGGAGUUUGGCAGUUUGGACAGAGGAGGCCCAGUUCCAGUGAUGGUCAAACGGACGGACGGGAGCCAUCAGAUCGACUGAGUGACGGGCCCUUAUUAGAAAGAAUGCACAGGACUGUAAGGUUAUUGUUCUAGGCUCUCCGAAGUGGCAGGUGGCCACGAGUUUUCACGGCGUUGAAGAAGCCGUGCCUGUGUUGUCAUUUCGAAGUUACAGUUAGAGCAGUCAAGGCACUUCUGACUGCAGAAAAGGAAGUACAGCGAGGGAACCCAGAGGGAGGAGUUCAAGAGCGGCCAUUUUGCGAGGGUGAGGUUAAAAUUCAAAAUGGCUGACGGCGCGAGGGCGACAUUCGCAAUGGACAUGUGCAAUGGUGCGGUUGGGAGCCCCAUUGAUGCUUAUGGGGAGUAAGGAAUACGGGUAACGUGUGGCUGUUGUCUCAUUCCCUGUGCCAGAGGGCUUGCAGAGAAGGUAAUAGCAAAGGCCGUGGACCCAGGGUCAACCGGUCCGGGAUCCAUGAUGCCGUUGGUGGAGGUGGC